GGCCAGACUCCUACGGGAGGCAGCAGUGGGGGAUAUUGCACAAUGGGGGGAGCCCUGAUGCAGCGACGCCGCGUGGGUGAAGGAGUAUUUCGGUAUGUAAAGCCCUAUCGGCAGGGAAGAAGCAAGACGGUACCUGACUAAGAAGCCCCGGCUAACUACGUGCCAGCAGCCGCGGUAAUACGUAGGGGGCGAGCGUUAUCCGGAUUCACUGGGUGUAAAGGGAGCGUAGACGGCCAAGCAAGCCAGGGGUGAAAGCCCGGGGCCCAACCCCGGGACUGCCCUUGGAACUGCAUGGCUGGAGUGCGGGAGGGGCAGGCGGAAUUCCUGGUGUAGCGGUGAAAUGCGUAGAUAUCAGGAGGAACACCGGUGGCGAAGGCGGCCUGCUGGACUGCAACUGACGUUGAGGCCCGAAAGCGUGGGGAGCAAACAGGAUUAGAUACCCGGGUA
rnacentral:rRNA from 1 species